rnacentral:tRNA from 1 species
GGAGAGGUCGCAUAGUGGCCGAGUGCGCGGGCUUGGAAAGCUCGUAGACCCGCAAGGGUCUCCAGGGUUCGAAUCCCUGCCUCUCCG